UACGUAGGGGGCUAGCGUUGUCCGGAAUUACUGGGCGUAAAGAGCUCGUAGGCGGCUUGUCACGUCGAUUGUGAAAGCCCGAGGCUUAACCUCGGGUCUGCAGUCGAUACGGGCUAGCUAGAGUGUGGUAGGGGAGAUCGGAAUUCCUGGUGUAGCGGUGAAAUGCGCAGAUAUCAGGAGGAACACCGGUGGCGAAGGCGGAUCUCUGGGCCAUUACUGACGCUGAGGAGCGAAAGCGUGGGGAGCGAACAGG
rnacentral:rRNA from 1 species